UACAGAUUCUUAUUCUAAUAACUACGAAUAACUAACUCAAAGUAUAAUUUCAUUGACAACAAAUCAUAUACAUUAAACAGUAAACGAGUAAAUGCAAAUACGCGCAUAUUAUAUUAUAUUUAUUUUGGUAAAUAUUUAUUUUCAAGUAUGAACAAUUGUAUUUAUCAUCUACCACUCAGUACUGUUUAGACAAAUAUGUCACCUUUUUUUAACACAAAUAAUGUCGCCAAUAUAAUAUUUUUGCCACAAUUCGAUACAGUUAUGAAAAUGCACAAAUGUGCGAUGUAAUAUUUUUUUUUGUGCGCGUCAAACGUGCAUUAAAGUACAAUAUUUUCCUCCUACUCAUUAUGUUUACCAUCGUUUAUGGCUCUAUAAUUAGUGUUCCUAGCAUUAUUAAGUGCCCGAAAGGAAUGCAGAGAGUCGCGUCAUCUUGCGUGAUGAUAAGUGACACGGUAGAAUUCUUGGAUACUCCCGACAGUGUUAAUACAAUACAUCAAGAUCAAAUGGAUUUAAAUAAUUUGUACGAAUAUUAAACACAUUAUUAAAAUAACUGCGAAUCCAAGGUCUGAUAAUAUGAAAUAAAUGAAAAGCAUUGUUUUUAUUAUUAUUAUUACAAUUAUUGUUAGAACGUAGCAAUUUCUUUUUCUUUUCGCUUCAUUUUGUUUUUUUUUUUUUUUU